GACGAACGCUGGCGGCGUGCUUAACACAUGCAAGUCGAACGGAAAGGCCCUGCUUUUGUGGGGUGCUCGAGUGGCGAACGGGUGAGUAACACGUGAGUAACCUGCCCUUGACUUUGGGAUAACUUCAGGAAACUGGGGCUAAUACCGGAUAGGAGCUCCUGCUGCAUGGUGGGGGUUGGAAAGUUUCGGCGGUUGGGGAUGGACUCGCGGCUUAUCAGCUUGGUGGUGGGGUAGUGGCUUACCAAGGCUUUGACGGGUAGCCGGCCUGAGAGGGGGACCGGCCACACUGGAAGAGAGACACGGUCCGGGGGCCUAAGGGAGGGAGCGGUGGGGAAUGGGACGCAAUGGGCGAAAGCCGGACGGAGCAACGCGGCGGGAGUGAUGAAGGUCGUCGGAGCGGAAAACGCGGUUAUGAGGGAAGAACAGAGGGGUAAGGAACUGUGCACAGCGUGAGGGUACCUAAUCAGAAAGCCACGGCUAACUACGUG
rnacentral:rRNA from 1 species